rnacentral:misc_RNA from 1 species
AACGCACGAGACCUGCGGACCUGCGGAAGGAUCAUUAACAAAUCUCUAAAGAUCAAACAAAUUAUUCUUGGAUGAUUAUAUUCCAAGGAUAUUUUUGUUUGAUCACAUUAACUCGGGCGCCACUUGAUAACCUUCUCUAAUCCUUUUUUUAAUAUUAAAAGAGGGGUUAGUUAAGGAUUUGAGAGAGGAUUGCCCUGAGACCCCCUUCACAUACACGCUUGUUUUGUUUGACUGAGUUAU